rnacentral:lncRNA from 1 species
UUUUCAUUCUUCCAGGGCUUUUAAUCGUGUCACACGUUCUCCCUUUUAUGUCUUUCGUUUUCCUUCGAUCGGUUGUCAAGAUAUGCGAAGCCCGUUCCAGGUCGUGUGAGCAGAACUGAAGCAGAGCACGAACGAGGCGAAGCAGAUGAGACUGACCAGGUUGACCUGCGAUCUUUUAUUUUCUUUUCUUUCGUCUUUCUGAGCUUUGUGAGUCUCUGGUUGUUUUUUUUUAGGGGGGUCUUUGCUUCUUGCAGACAUUGGUGGAAUGAUCUGGGAUUUAGGGUGUUGCUUUGCAUCACCUGAGAGAGGACGAUCCAAUCCAAGUUGGAUGCAUUUUGGUUGAAAACCAGAUUUUGUGUAUCCCCUUUUUAAUCCUAAUUGAUGGUUUUGGUUCGGUCACUUUUCAUCGAAGCUGAUAGAGAAUUGGGGCUUUGAUGUCGAGGGGAUAUUGCAGUAAGUGAUUUUGAUUAGAGUCUAUUUUUGCA